rnacentral:rRNA from 1 species
UGCAGUCGAACGCAGUAGCAAUACUGAGUGGCAAACGGGUGAGUAUAAUGUGGGAAUCUGCCUUUUGGUUUGGAAUAACACGGGGAAACUUGUGCUAAUACCGGAUAAGCCCUUACGGGGAAAGUUUUAACGCCGAAAGAUGAGCCUGCACUUGAUUAGCUAGUUGGUAAGGUAAAGGCUUACCAAGGCAACGAUCAAUAGCUGUUCUUAGAGGAAGACCAGCCACAUUGGGACUGAGACACGGCCCAGACUCCUACGGGAGGCAGCAGUGGGGAAUCUUGCACAAUGGGGGAAACCCUGAUGCAGCGAUGCCGCGUGAGUGAAGAAGGCCCUUGGGUUGUAAAACUCUUUCGUCGGGGAAGAAAAUGACCGUACCCGAAUAAGAAGGUCCGGCUAACUUCGUGCCAGCAGCCGCGGUAAUACGAAGGGACCUAGCGUAGUUCGGAAUUACUGGGCUUAAAGAGCUCGUAGGUGGUUAAAAAAGUUGAUGGUGAAAUCCCAAGGCUCAACCUUGGAACUGCCAUCAAAACUUUUUAGCUAGAGUGUGAUAGAGGUAAGUGGAAUUUCUAGUGUAGAGGUGAAAUUCGUAGAUAUUAGAAAGAACACCAAAUGCGAAGGCAACUUACUGGGUCACUACUGACACUGAGGAGCGAAAGCAUGGGUAGCGAAGAGGAUUAGAUACCCUCGUAGUCCAUGCCGUAAACGAUGUGUGCUAGACGUUGGAAAUAUAUUUUUCAGUGUCGCAGCGAAAGCAUUAAGCACGCCGCCUGGGGAGUACGACCGCAAGGUUAAAACUCAAAUGAAUUGACGGGGACCCGCACAAGCAGUGGAGCAUGUGGUUUAAUUCGAAGAUACGCGCAGAACCUUACCAACACUUGACAUGUUCGUCGCGAGACUAAGAGAUUAGUUUUUUCAGUUCGGC